AACAGAGAAUUUAAACGUCCCGACAACUCCCCCGGGAACCUCAACCCACUCGCUACACAUUCCAUGCCCCAACAACCAACGCACAACUGUGGCCCAAGUGCAUUGCGCAGAAUCACCCCGGCCCAAGAAGGGCUACAGAGCUGAAAAUGUACGGAUUCAAGAACUGGCGCUCUAUGGAUACGACUCCAACGAGACGCUUGAUGAAAAAAGUCUAGAGCCCUCGGUAUCCACGACUCGUCAGAACAGCCAGCGCCAAAAAAGCAGAGACUCCUCCCCGGCGAAAAAAACGGCACAGAAGGCCACAUACAUCUAGAGCUGGGGGAUUCCGGCUCACCCAACAUUCCCA